UACGUAGGGGGCGAGCGUUGUCCGGAUUUAUUGGGCGUAAAGAGCGUGUAGGCGGCCAGGUAGGUCUGCUGUGAAAACUCGAGGCUCAACCUCGAGACGUCGGCGGAAACCAUCUGGCUAGAGUCCGGAAGAGGAGAGUGGAAUCCUGGUGUAGCGGUGAAAUGCGCAGAUAUCAGGAAGAACACCCGUGGCGAAGGCAGCUCGCUGGGACGGUACUGACGCUGAGACGCGAAAGCGUGGGGGAGCAAACAGG
rnacentral:rRNA from 1 species